AGAACGUCAGCUGUAGCCUUGACUCUUCCUUGGGAAAAUAUCUGAGCCUAUCUAUGAAGUCGUGCCUGAUCCUGGGAAGGCAGAGGGUUACAGCCAAGGACAAGGAACUGCUUCCUCAACAAGACUGGGUCCACAGAGCUUCAUGGGAAGAACAUGUUGCAAAUGCCCUACUCCAGCUGAAGCAGAAAUGCUAGUGUGGCCCAACAUCACAUUGACUGACCAGAGUCACUUUCCAGGAACUCCACAGGAGGACCAACAGAGCCAACUAACCAGGACCCUCGAGGCUCUCAGAAACUGAACCGCCAACCAAAGAACAUACCUAGGCCUCCCUGCACGUAUGUAGCGCACGGACAACUUGGUCUUCAUGUGGGUUCUGAGGGCCCCAAACAAGUGGA